GAACGCACAUUGCGCCCCUUGGUAUUCCGAGGGGCAUGCCUGUUCGAGCGUCAUUGCACAAUCUCUCAAGCCUAGCUUGGUGUUGGGUCUUCAUCUGUCUGUCCCUCCCUCUACUGUUCGGGUAAGGGGGAGAGAACCCGGAUGUACCUAAAAAUUAGUGGCGGUGCCCAUAUUGGUCUCAAGCGUAGCAGACUCUCUCUCGCUUUGGAUGACCUGUCAUGGCUAGCUCACCAGCCCCUGCAUGCAUGCAUGCAUCUUUAACCAAUGUUUGACCUCGGAUCAGGUAGGGAUACCCGCUGAACUUAAG
rnacentral:misc_RNA from 1 species